rnacentral:rRNA from 1 species
GGUUAAGUUAGAAAGGGCGCACGGUGGAUGCCUUGGCACUAGGAGCCGAUGAAGGACGGGACGAACACCGAUAUGCUUCGGGGAGCUGUAAGCAAGCUUUGAUCCGGAGAUUUCCGAAUGGGGAAACCCACCACUCGUAAUGGAGUGGUAUCCAUAUCUGAAUUCAUAGGAUAUGAGAAGGCAGACCCGGGGAACUGAAACAUCUAAGUACCCGGAGGAAGAGAAAGCAAAUGCGAUUCCCUGAGUAGCGGCGAGCGAAACGGGAUUAGCCCAAACCAAGAGGCUUGCCUCUUGGGGUUGUAGGACACUCUAUACGGAGUUACAAAAGAACGAGGUAGAUGAAGAGGUCUGGAAAGGCCCGCCAUAGGAGGUAACAGCCCUGUAGUCAAAACUUCGUUCUCUCCUGAGUGGAUCCUGAGUACGGCGGAACACGUGAAAUUCCGUCGGAAUCCGGGAGGACCAUCUCCCAAGGCUAAAUACUCCC